UACAAGUGAUUUUCAAGUUCUUCCCAAAAUGGAGUCUCUCACUGUGUGCCAGAAGGUGGCGCCUGGUAAUCAGGAAGAAAGGAGGGGUCUUAAGCAUGAGUGGUCUAAAGGGAAAGCACACACAAGGAAAUGGCGUGGGGUAGAGAUCCCAAACUCCAAAUCUGUCAAGUUCAAGUGAACAGUGUGCCUUGGAGGUUCAAGGAACCAGCUCAGGUUCCUUGUUUGUAAGUUAACCUCCUACCUUUAAUAAGAGCUUGAGUAGUUAUGUCUGGUUGUGUUGAGUGGUGUGUUUGGUAUCCUUGGGACAGGUUCAAGUUGCUAGAGUUGUUGAACCUAGUUUCUGUCCCAUGAUACUUAAAUUGUGUGUGUUGCUCUGUUUCUUAAAUUAUUUCUAGGAGUUGUCUAGCAUAGUAUUGUCUAGUUCCUGUCCUAGAUUAAUUGUUUCUGUUUGUAUUGUGCUAGGCGAUUUGUUUAGCUACUGUCAUUGUCUUGUUGCAUUGAUAAAGGUCUAGGAGAGCCUCCUGAUCUUGUAUUGCAUUAUAUAUAUUGUUCAAGAUGAUUAGAUGAGUUGUUUAGUCUCUGUUUAUUGUCUUUAAAAUUCAUAAAAAGAGCCUAAUUGCCUUGUUAUUGAUGAGUUAUCAUACCUGAGCAGUUAGUGAUGUUAGUAUGCAUGGAGUUGAACUGAAUGAGUUGUUUAGAUUCUGUUCAUUGCAUAUUUCUUUUUAAAACAUUGGGAUCAGACUUGGUGAAUUAUCAAGGGCUGAUCCUAGUGUGUGUGGUCUGAUUCUUGCUGGAGUUUGAGUGAUGUUUCAGGUACACAAGAGGUGAUCUCUGUCCAUCAUCAAACUAAGACAAAGAAGAAGGCAUUGCCCACGUUUUUCAGAGCCUCCCAAGAUGGAUAUUCCUGAACCGUGGAGAUUGCCCAGUCCCAAAUCCUAUCUAUGUGUCUGCCCAUUUCCUACCCUGAAGAUAGAAAGGAUGUUGGAGAAUUGGAGAAACUGCUCAGAAGUGACUUACCUGAUGCCAAGAGGAUGUACAGGAGGUGCACUCAAGAGAAAAGGCCAUCACUAAGCCAAGAGUGGCCGGUGGUCAGAGGCAUGGAUCAAGGUGUUUAGUCCUGACCAUGUAAAGAUACCUUGUGAGUAGAACCAGUUGGCUUAAGCGCAGGCGUAGGAGCUGUUGUGCUCCUGGUUCAAGAGACUCAUAAGGAAGGUCAUUACCUAAGUCAUGGGGAGACUGGUGGCCCAAAGACAUUAGAGCUGAAGGAAAAUGGUGAUCCAGUUGGCUUAAGCGCAGAUGUUGGUAUUGUUGUGCUCCUGGAAGAUAGUGAACUGGUUGGCUUAAGCGCAGAUGUUGGUAUUGUUGUGCUCCCAGUUUCAAAACUCAUUGAAGCUCACAUUCAAGCUUGUCCCUAUACUCAGCCAAGCUUGAGGAGGGGAAUCAGUGAGCUACCAGAAGAUCCAUGAAGCUCCUAAGUGUCUCUUUUCCUCAUAGAAGGCCGGCAACAUCUAUGUGUCAAAAUAGAUGAUCAAGAAGAAGAGGUUGCAUGGCGAUUUAAUAAGGAGGGGCCUAAGUGAUCAGUCUGAAGAAGCUGGCACACCCCACCACUCUGACCAGCUAUAUUCAAGGACUCAAGGAGUAUUCAAUCAGGGAAAUUAUUGGCUAAGCAAUCACAUGAUGGUGGCAAAUUAUGGAGUUGAAAAGUGCUGAGCUUCCCUACAUGCUGAAACUUCAAGAGAAAAAUGCAAAGGCUGGUUGAGAGAAGGAAUGGCGUGGAGGAUUCAAGUGCUUAGCAAUCCUCACCAACAUUCAACAAACUGAUGCAAGGGAAGUACCUAAAACCAUUAUUAUUCUUAUGUGUGAAUAGGUUUGCCCCUUGAGAAUUGAUACAUGCAUUUUUUGGAUGAUUGAAUCAGGUACCUAUUGAGCUCAUGAACAAAGAAAAGCUUUGUCUCAACUCCUAAAUGGAGGCAAGAAGCCAGAAGAAAGGGGGGAGACAAGCUCAGGUCAUAAGAAGAAGCUCAAAGGUGAUUUGACGGUGAAGCAACUGGCGCCAAUCCAAGUCGUUCAUUGCCUCACCUCUGAUCAAAAUUGGAGUUUGCAAGUGGUGGAUUCACUCUUGCAUUACUCAGUACCAACCGGACCAAAGAAGCUCAGUUCCAAGUGUGUGAUUGAGCUUCCAUAAUCCGGACUGUGUCUUACCAAGUGGGGAUUCAAUUGGAGUCCACUCCUGACCAUUCUUAUAAAAGGGAAGCACCUUAAACUCAUCUCAAUACAUUCAUGAUUGUCCUUAUACUUAAACUAUUAUUGAGUUUGAUGUGAUGAGUGCAUUUCCUUAAGAACUGAUGCACUUUUGAAAUGAUGUAUCAGGUACCAAAAUAAGCUUGAGCCUCACUGAAGAUGAUGAUGAUGAUCCGGUCAUGUCCUAGCCUUUCUAAGAUGGCCAAAGAAGUCAGUUGAGAGGGGGAGACCCUAACCGAGUCUAUGGUUCCAUGAAGAGGUCAAGCCAAGUUCUAAAGAACAAGUAACUUUGCUGGGGGUUCAGAGAAGAUGGUCUGGUCGUUUCCUUGCCUUCCUAAGGUGGCUUGAAGCCAGUUGAGAGGGGGAGACCCUAAACCGGCCACAAAAUGAUCCAGCCGGCUACUUGUGCUCAAGGAUAGCAAGUUAUGGUGAUUCAUACUUGCUAUACCUAUUAGGCCACGAUCCAGAGCCUAAGGACUCCACCAUGAUGAAUCUGAAGUUCCUUAGGCUCACUGGCCAAUCCCUAAGCUUUGUGGAAACUCCACUCUUUUUCCCUUAGCAAGUUUUGUCCCAAUGGGUUUUCUUGCUAAGGUUUUUAAUGAGGGAGCUUCUUCAAGGUUCCAAGCUUGUCCAAGGAUCUCCUAUGGUCAAGCUUGAGGGGGAGUGUUGGAAUGAAGAAGUAAGAAGCUGGAGUUGAUGAAGAGACCAAGCUUCAAGAGCAAGCAAAUCCGGAACAAGCAGAUUUGAAUCUGUCCGUACAGUUUUGGCUUGCAAGUAACCAAACCUAACCUAGAGUGUCUUGGAAGUCAAGGCAAGUGGGGAACUCGUCCAGCUGAGCUUUCUGAAGCAUAUUUGAAGUUUAAACUAAGUAUGAGACCGUUGGAGAGAGAUCUGGCAAGUUGGAGAAUUAAUUAAGAUAAAAGUCACAUGUGCAUAAGGAGAUGAACCUGCUGUCACUUUCACCCAACCAGACUGUGCCCAUCUCUCUCUCCUGUCUCUACUCCCUCUGGUCGAGAUUCUCCUUGGCUGCAUCCUCCUGGCUCCAUCAGAAACCCUACAAUAAUAUUAGUUUAGUAAAUCUGUACUUUAACAAUUGUUUAAUCACUUGCAACUUGUAAUCUGGCUAUAAAGCCACCCCAUUGUAACCAUUACGAAAUUAAGCUGAAAGGGAGAGUUUCUCCUUUCUUCUUCA